GAUGAACGCUGGCGGCGUGCCUAAUACAUGCAAGUCGAGCGAACAGAUAAGGAGCUUGCUCCUUUGACGUUAGCGGCGGACGGGUGAGUAACACGUGGGUAACCUACCUAUAAGACUGGAAUAACUCCGGGAAACCGGGGCUAAUGCCGGAUAACAUUUAGAACCGCAUGGUUCUAAAGUGAAAGAUGGUUUUACUAUCACUUAUAGAUGGACCCGCGCCGUAUUAGCUAGUUGGUAAGGUAACGGCUUACCAAGGCAACGAUACGUAGCCGAACUGAGAGGGUGAUCGGCCACACUGGAACUGAGACACGGUCCAGACUCCUACGGGAGGCAGCAGUAGGGAAUCUUCCGCAAUGGGCGAAAGCCUGACGGAGCAACGCCGCGUGAGUGAUGAAGGUCUUCGGAUCGUAAAACUCUGUUAUUAGGGAAGAACAAAUGUGUAAGUAACUGUGCACGUCUUGACGGUACCUAAUCAGAAAGCCACGGCUAACUACGUG
rnacentral:rRNA from 1 species